CAAAGGAAUUGACGGGGGCCCGCACAAGCGGUGGAGCAUGUGGUUUAAUUCGAUGCAACGCGAAGAACCUUACCUGCCCUUGACAUGCCAAGAAUCCCGCAGAGAUGUGGGAGUGCCUUCGGGAGCUUGGACACAGGUGCUGCAUGGCUGUCGUCAGCUCGUGUCGUGAGAUGUUGGGUUAAGUCCCGCAACGAGCGCAACCCUUGUCUCUAGUUACUAACAGUUCGGCUGAGCACUCUAGAGAGACUGCCGGUGAUAAACCGGAGGAAGGUGGGGAUGACGUCAAGUCGUCAUGGCCCUUAUGGGCAGGGCUACACACGUGCUACAAUGGACGGUACAGAGGGUCGCCAACCCGCGAGGGGGAGCUAAUCUCACAAAGCCGUUCGUAGUCCGGAUUGCAGUCUGCAACUCGACUGCAUGAAGUCGGAAUCGCUAGUAAUCGCAGAUCAGCAUUGCUGCGGUGAAUACGUUCCCGGGCCUU
rnacentral:rRNA from 1 species